rnacentral:lncRNA from 1 species
GCACAUAUAAGCAAAUUUGAGGGUCCAAGUGUUCUUUUAUCAAAAGGAAUUAGUAAAUAAAUAAGGGGCAUAUAAAAAAGUGGGUUGGUUUUUAUCAUUGACUGUUUGUGGUUGAUUGAACGAACUGCGAAGAAAUUUCAGAUUGUCUUUUCUAUCGAGUAGACGAAACCAUGACUCAUAUCCUUUUUUCUUUUUUUCUUUUUCAAUAUAUGAUUUCGAAUUUAAUUAAUGUCUAUUAAUGUUGUUGCAAUUAUUAAACAAUUAAUUACUGGUUAGCUUUUUCCUUAAUUCAUUGCUUUUCGAUUUUGGAUUCGAAUCUCACGCGGAAACCAGAGAGAACGCGAUCGCGAGAGAGCGGCCGCUCGCGGCAGCAAGGGAAAGACCAAGGACGACGGCUUGACUCCCGAACAACGCCGCGAAAGGUUUUUUUUUUUUUUUUUUUAUAAAAAAAAAUUCUUCCCUACGAUGUCGUUUUGACUUUUGACUUCUUUUAAAAAAUAAUUAAUUAAUUAAUUAAAAUUAUGUUAAAAAAUUAGGGACGCGAAGGCGCUGCAGGAGAAGACCGCCAAGAAGGCAGCGCAGGCGGCUGGCGGAGAUUCCGCUGGAGGUAAAGGCAAUAAUAAGAAAUAAACAAACUGAAUAAAUGUUCGAUUGAGAUUCCGCCCGUGGUUUGUGUUUUUCGAGCUUUUUUUGUUUAAUUUUAAAUUUAUUGUGGUGUUAAUAAACAAUUUGAUGUGGUUGUACAAUGUUCUAUAUUUGCUUUGUAUUGAUAUUCGGAUUGGCGUCUAAAUACAAGAAUUUAAUUUUUGUUGUGUUUGUUUCUUGUAUUAUUUAUUUUUUGCUUUGAGGUAAUUGUGAUUGCCAGUAGCUAAAGCGAUAACUUCUUUUUAAUAGAUUGAGACGUGGUUUCGUG